GACGUAUCUGAAAGGGAUACUCUUCGGACAUAUACAAGGUGCUGCAUGGUUGUCGUCAGCUCGUGUCGUGAGAUGUUGGGUUAAGUCCCGUAACGAGCGCAACCCUUGUCCUUAGUUACCAGCACGUUAUGGUGGGCACUCUAAGGAGACUGCCGGUGACAAACCGGAGGAAGGUGGGGAUGACGUCAAGUCAUCAUGGCCCUUACGGCCUGGGCUACACACGUGCUACAAUGGUCGGUACAAAGGGUUGCCAAGCCGCGAGGUGGAGCUAAUCCCAUAAAACCGAUCGUAGUCCGGAUCGCAGUCUGCAACUCGACUGCGUGAAGUCGGAAUCGCUAGUAAUCGUGAAUCAGAAUGUCACGGUGAAUACGUUCCCGGGCCUU
rnacentral:rRNA from 1 species